rnacentral:lncRNA from 1 species
GAGCAAAUGAACAUACCUAGAAAAUGAAGAUGCUAGGUCUGCAACUAGACCACACCUGCCCAUUGGUUCUUUGGGAGCAUCUCUAUAUGUCUUUGGGAUGAGACUGCUGGUCAGGCAUGUAGGCCUUUGCUCUGCCUGCCUGGGAUGGCACAAUCAGGUGCUGAAGUCUUAUAUCACACACCUAGGGCAAAGUGUACAUGAAGACCAGUCUGACUGCUAGGUUUGCAGUCUUAGGCAAGAUGGCAGGAGGCCCCUUGGUGAUGGGAACAUGUGGCUGGGACUCUUCACCUCUAAACAUUAUAGUGAAACAGAAAGAAGAGAAAGGGCUCAUACUUCUCGAUUAAGGUAAAUCCUUAAACAUUUGACUAUUGUUUUGAGAAGUGGUUGCCGUGCUAUCAUUAAUGUGUG